UACGGGGGGGGGCAAGCGUUGUUCGGAAUUACUGGGCGUAAAGGGCUCGUAGGCGGCCAACUAAGUCAGACGUGAAAUCCCUCGGCUUAACCGGGGAACUGCGUCUGAUACUGGAUGGCUUGAAUCCGGGAGAGGGAUGCGGAAUUCCAGGUGUAGCGGUGAAAUGCGUAGAUAUCUGGAGGAACACCGGUGGCGAAGGCGACAUCCUGGACCGGUAUUGACGCUGAGUGAGCGAAAGCCAGGGGAGCAAACGGG
rnacentral:rRNA from 1 species